rnacentral:rRNA from 1 species
CUGAGAGAUCGUGCUAAAACUUGGUUUUCGUCUUUGCCUAAAAAUAAUAUUGAUUCGUGGAAUAAGUGCAAAGAUGUUUUUAUCUCUAAGUAUUUUCCUCCCGCUAAGAUCAUCUCUCUUAGAAACGAUAUUAUGAAUUUUAAGCAACUUGAUCAUGAGCAUGUUGCACAAUCUUGGGAGAGGAUGAAAUUAAUGAUACAUAAUUGCCCUACACAUGGUUUGGAUUUAUGGAUGAUCAUACAAAAAAUUUAUGCCGGCUUGAAUUUUGCUUCUAGAAAUCUUUUAGAUUCGGCCGCGGGAGGCACUUUUAUGGAAAUCACUUUAGGAGAAGCUACUAAACUCCUAGAUAAUAUUAUGGUUAAUUAUUCUCAAUGGCACAUCGAAAGAUCUACUAGUAAAAAUGUUCAUGCUAUAGAAGAAAUUAAUGUUUUGAGUGGAAAGAUGGAUGAACUUAUGAAAUUGUUUGCUACUAAAAGUGCUCCUAUUGAUCCUAAUGAUAUGCCUUUGUCUACUUUGAUUGAGAAUAAUAAUGAAUCUAUGGAUGUGAAUUUUGUUGGUAGGAAUAAUUUUGGUAACAACGCGUAUAGAGGAAACUUUAAUCCUAGGCCGUUUCCUAGUAAUUCCUCUAAUAAUUAUGGUAAUUCCUAUAACAACUCUUAU